GUUCUCGCCUGCCACGCGGGAGGCCCGGGUUCGAGUCCCGGCCAAUGCA
rnacentral:tRNA from 1 species